CUCUAUAGUGCUUGCUCUCCAUGAGCCCACAGCAUCCCAGCCCCUCUGCUCCUCAUGAAAUCCAAGCGGGAGCAGAGCUGGUUGGCUGUGGGACUCUUGGUGGUUCCCUGUCUCCCUCUGGGUGGAGGGAGGCGAGGCAGAACAGCUGAUGUAGCGGCGGGGUGUCGAUUCACGGCUCGUAAUUCAAUUAAGAGAGAGGAGAGAUCAGAAGGAGACUGCAUUAAAGAAUAAAUCAGGUAGAGGGAGUGGAGUUCCUGCCUUUAAUUACGGCGUGGAUUUGUAACGCCAGAGACUCCAUCAAUCAGCCGGGAGACAAAAGGUGUCAGGAGGGAGAAGCCUUCCCUGGGUUAAUCACCGCUGAGGGAGGAGCAGAUUAGCAGGUGGCUGUCAGAAAGCCGAUACCUGCCCGACAGCAGCGCUGGGCAGCACCAAACCCCUUCAGCAGCGAGCGUGGUGAUGCCUGGUGGGUGCAGACGAGGAGAUGUUUGUGAUGCCAGGCAGCGAUGCCAGACAACGGGUGGCUGAUCAUCUCUGCUCUCCAUCCCAACUGCUUGGGUGCCAGCACAGUGUCUCAUCUGGACAGAGAAAUGGACAGACUGACAUCCUCAGUAGACCUUACCUCAGCUUGGUGAGCCUGAUCCCCAGCACAGAUCUGUGCUCUGGAGCUGGAUCCUGUGCUGCUGCCUGGGGUCUGUGCCAUCAGCUCAGCUCCUCAAUCACCCUUGGGAAAUGCCCACUGAAGAGACACACUUGUGCAGGUGUUAGGAAAAGCUUGGGAGGGGGCUCUGUGCCCAGCCUGCUGCCUGGCUGGCUGGCUGAAGGGUGGGAGGGCAGGUAGGGCUUCUGCAGGGACAGGGUCACAAGAGCCAUACUCUCAGGCUGUGGGAGGAUGCCAUCCCUGCUCCUCCUGAGCUAAACUCGGUCUAAGCUGGCUCAGCUGGAGCCCAGGGGCUGUGGGGCAUUUAUUGCAAUGGCCUACACCAUCUGAAGAGUAUCCUUAACCCAAAAUGCUCUUAGGAAAGCUCACAGCUCCCCACACCAGGGCAGCAGGAGCAGCUGAACCACACUGCUGGCUUGAAACACAGACCUGCAGCUCUGCUGAAGCCCUCUGAGCUGUUGCCACUGGAACAAAUCCUAAGGCCACCAUGAUACCAAAAUAAGUGAUAAAACAGCACCCAGCUGCUGAGGAUGGGCCCUGCACCCUAAACCAUGCAGCCCCAAGCCUGUGGGACAUCCUAACCCUGCUAACCGAGCUGAGACCCAGCUGUGCUGCUGCAAAGGUGAGGCCAUUGGCCUUUAGGUCCUCUGAACCUCCAAAAUGAAGAACAAAAGCCCACCAGCUCCUUUGCUCUCCAGUAAAGUGAGGGGGUUUGUGAGAUGGGUUGACUUCUCCAGGGGACAGCUGGGGUGAGGAGCAGCAUCAGAGACAUGUGGGAUGCGGUGAGUCGUAACUGGGGUCUGAGGCAGGCCACCACACCUCCUGCAAGGUGAAGAAGGCAGUCCCCAGCCAAGCAGGAAGAUUUGCCACAGUCUCAUUUGAGCUCCUGGCCAACAGCAAACAGUUCAGGGGACACCUCCAAGAGCCAAGGACGUGCAGAUGCCCCCAGUUGCUCCACAGCCAUGGGAUGUGUGGGGUCCUCACAAAUCCAGACAUCCUCAGAGAUCCACUGCGACCUUUUGGGUGAGCACCAGGAGCCGGUGGCUGUUGAUUUGACUUGUAAAUCAGCUGAAGUGAUGAUGGCAAGGUCAGCAAGAUCUGGGGCUCCUGGACACGUCCCUUGUCACAUCAGUUCCCGAGGCACAGUUGGCUGUAAUUUUGCCUGGUUUAAUUGGCACUUAAAUUAGGCACAAAUGGAGGAGCGCUGCAGCUGCGGCUGUGUUCAGAA